rnacentral:rRNA from 1 species
GUGUCAGCAGCCGCGGUAAUACGUAGGCAGCAAGCGUUGUUCGGAGUUACUGGGCGUAAAGGGUGUGUAGGCGGUCUUCUAAGUUUGGUGUGAAAUCUCCCGGCUCAACUGGGAGGGUGCGCCGAAAACUGGGAGGCUAGAGUGCGGGAUGGGAGAGUGGAAUUCCUGGUGUAGCGGUGAAAUGCGUAGAUAUCAGGAGGAACACCUGUGGUGUAGACGGCUCUCUGGACCGCAACUGACGCUGAGACACGAAAGCGUGGGUAGCAAACAGGAUUAGAUACCCCUGUAGUCC